rnacentral:rRNA from 1 species
CGUUUUAAGACAAUAAUUUAAAAUAAUACCUGCUCAAUUGAAAUUUAAUUUUAAAUAGCCGCAGUUCAACUGUGCUAAGGUAGCAUAAUAAAUUGUCUACUAAUUAUAGAAUAGAAUGAAAGGUAACACGUAUUUUAAAUUGUUUCAUUAUUACACUUAUAAAUUAUAAUUUAAGUAAAAAUACUUAAUUUUAAUAAUAAAAGACGACAAGACCCUAAUAAACUUAACUUAUUUUACUGGGGAGGUAAAACAAAAACACCUUGCACACAUUUUAAAAUAAAAACCUAAUUACUUAAACACAUCAAAGUUACUAUAGGGAUAACAGCACAAUUAUUAUUUAAAGCUCUUAUUAACAUAAUAGAUUAUGACCUCGAUGUUGAAUCAGAAUCACCUUAAUAAGCAACCUUAUUAAAGGUUAAGGUCUGUUCGACCUGUAAAUUCUACGUG